rnacentral:rRNA from 1 species
AUCGUCCUACGGGGGCAGCAGUGAGGAAUAUUGGUCAAUGGCCGAGAGGCUGAACCAGCCAAGUCGCGUGAGGGAUGACGGCCCUACGGGUUGUAAACCUCUUUUGUCGGGGAGCAAGACCCGCCACGAGUGGCGGAGCGAGAGUACCCGAAGAAAAAGCAUCGGCUAACUCCGUGCCAGCAGCCGCGGUAAUACGGAGGAUGCGAGCGUUAUCCGGAUUUAUUGGGUUUAAAGGGUGCGUAGGCGGGACGGGAAGUCAGCGGGAAAAAUGCGGAGCGCAACUCCGUCGAGCCGUUGAAA